AACCGGUGAGGAGGAAACGGAUGGAGUCGGCGUAUCUUGCGAGUAUUCAUUUACUUUAUUAUUGUGUUGUUGUCUCUGAGCUCCAGAUUGGGACAGAGGAAAGCAGCAUGAUUUAAUGUGAUGCAUUUACGUGUCUGGUGUGUGGGGGUAUCUAAGAUGGAUUUGCAACAAAUGCUAAGAGAGGACAAUUGUUGGUUUGCAAAUGGGUCAACCUUAUGGAUCUUGGGAUUGCCUGUUCAGGGUACAUGGAUGAAACGUAUUGAACCAGGGGCAAGUUACCGGCCCAUGGCCGCCGGGCUUUUCAUUUAGUUCGGUGCAAUUAAUGCUCUCGUACUCUCCCCCCCUGUAAAAGCCGGUCCUCUAUUUGACCCGUCUUGAAACCCCGACCAAGGAGUUUAACGUGUGCUCAAGUUUUUGGGUGUUUAAAACCUAGAAGCGAAAUGAAAGUAAAUGAUUCUUUACAGUCUGAUGUGCAAUCUUUUUUCAGAAAAGUGCAUCCUGGCCCCCUUCUAACUGUUUACAGUAAGGUGGCGGAAGAGCGUACGCGGUGAGACCCCAAAGAUGGUGAACUAUUCCUGAGCAGGACGAAGCCCGAGGAAACUCUGGUGGAAGUCCGAAGCGGUUCUGACGUGCAAAUCGAUCGUCUGACUUGGGUAUAGGGGCGAAAGACUAAUCGAACCAUCUAGUAGCUGGUUCCUUCCGAA
rnacentral:rRNA from 1 species